rnacentral:rRNA from 1 species
AUGAACAACGACAACUCAUAUGAGGAUGCCGAGGAGAUCAAUUUGAUUCCUUUAUUGCUAUUGUUGCACGACAAUAUCUGUUAUUGUCGCUAUUGUCAGGAAAAAUAUCCCAAUAUACACACUGUAUUUGCCAAUGUAACAGCAUGGUUAAUCUCAAUCUGGGACAAUGCAUUAUUUUCUAAAUAUAGUCAAACAUCACCGGAUAUAUACUUUGAACAGUCAAAGGAACAUGCUACCAGCAGGAAGAAAACAUGCUUGCAUUUUCUUAGAUGGUAUGUAGGACCUGAAUACUAUUUGCCGGACUGCCGACGUAUUAUGUAUAUUGUAACAGAACUACGUGGAUGA